rnacentral:rRNA from 1 species
UCCAGGCCCUACGGGGCGCAGCAGUUACGAAAACUUCCCAAUGUGGGAAACCACGAGGAGGGAACUCCCAGUGCGUGCACUUUGUGUACGCUGUUCUCCUGCCUUAAAAGCGGGAGAAGUAAGGGCCGGGUAAGACGGGUGCCAGCCGCCGCGGUAAUACCCGCGGCCCGAGUGGUGCUCAUUAUUAUUGAGUCUAAAACGUCCGUAGCCGGCCUGGUGGAUGCCUGGGUAAAUCGGGGCGCUCAACGUUCCGAAUUCCGGGUAGACCGCCAGGCUAGGGACCGGGAGAGGCUGGAGGUACUCCGGGGGUAGGGGUAAAAUCCUGUAAUCCUCAGAGGACCACCAGUGGCGAAGGCGUCCAGCUAGAACGGAUCCGACGGUCAGGGACGAAGCCCAGGGGCGCAAACGGGAUUAGAUACCCCGGUAGUCCUGGGUGUAAACGCUGCAGGCUUGGUGUCGGGGAUCCUACGAGGGCGCCCGGUGCCGGAGCGAAGGUGUUAAGCCUGCUACUUGGGGAGUACGUCCGCAAGGAUGAAACUUAAAGGAAUUGGCGGGGGAGCACCGCAACGGGAGGAGCGUGCGGUUCAAUUGGAUUCAACGCCGC